GAUGAACGCUGGCGGCGUGCCUAAUACAUGCAAGUCGAGCGAACAGAUGAGGAGCUUGCUCCUCUGACGUUAGCGGCGGACGGGUGAGUAACACGUGGAUAACCUACCUAUAAGACUGGGAUAACUUCGGGAAACCGGAGCUAUUACCGUAUAAUAUAUUGAACCGCAUGGUUCAAUAGUGAAAGACGGUUUUGCUGUCACUUAUACAUGUAGCCGCGCGGCUUUAGCUAGUUGGUAAGGUAACGGCUUACCAAGGCAACGAUGCGGAGCCGGCCUGAGAGGGUGAUCGGCCAGACUGGAACUGAGACACGGUCCAGACUCCUACGGGAGGCAGCAGGAGGGACAGUAGCGCAAUGGGCGAAAGCCUGACGGAGAGACGCAGCGUGAGUGAUGACGGUCUUCGGAUCGUAAAACUGUGUUAUUAGGGAAGAACAAAUGUGUAAGUCACUAUGCACGUCUUGACGGUAACUAAUCAGAAAGCCACGGCUAACUACGUG
rnacentral:rRNA from 1 species